UACAGAGGGGGCAAGCGUUGUUCGGAAUUACUGGGCGUAAAGGGCGCGUAGGCGGCCUUCUAAGUCAGACGUGAAAUCCCCGGGCUCAACCCGGGAACUGCGUCUGAUACUGGAAGGCUUGAAUCCGGGAGAGGGAUGUGGAAUUCCAGGUGUAGCGGUGAAAUGCGUAGAUAUCUGGAGGAACACCGGUGGCGAAGGCGGAUCUCUGGGCCUUACCUGACGCUGAGGCGCGAAAGCUAGGGGAGCAAACAGG
rnacentral:rRNA from 1 species